UACAAGAAAAAGUAGCUAUGGCUGA
rnacentral:misc_RNA from 1 species